UACGUAGGUGUCGAGCGUUGUCCGGAUUUAUUGGGCGUAAAGAGCCCGCAGGCGGCUUGGCAAGUUUGAGGUGAAAUCUCCCGGCUCAACUGGGAGGGUGCCUUGAAAACUGCUAGGCUUGAGGCAGGGAGAGGGAUGUGGAAUUCCAGGUGUAGCGGUGAAAUGCGUAGAUAUCUGGAGGAAUACCGGUGGCGAAGGCGGCAUCCUGGACCGACAUUGACGCUGAACGGCGAAAGCUAGGGGAGCAAACGGG
rnacentral:rRNA from 1 species